rnacentral:rRNA from 1 species
UACGUAGGGUGCGAGCGUUAAUCGGAAUUACUGGGCGUAAAGCGUGCGCAGGCGGUUGAUUAAGGCUGAUGUGAAAGCCCCGGGCUCAACCUGGGAAUGGCAUUGGAAACUGGUCAGCUGGAGUGUGGCAGAGGGGGGUGGAAUUCCGCGUGUAGCAGUGAAAUGCGUAGAGAUGCGGAGGAACACCGAUGGCGAAGGCAGCCCCCUGGGCCAACACUGACGCUCAGGCACGAAAGCGUGGGGAGCAAACAGG